AUAAAAAACCAAAAAAAAA
rnacentral:sRNA from 1 species